rnacentral:rRNA from 1 species
UACGGAGGGUGCGAGCGUUGUCCGGAAUCACUGGGCGUAUAGGGCGCGUAGGUGGCCGAGCAAGGUCGCGGUGAAAGCCCGGGGCUCAACCCCGGGUCGGCCGUGGCAACUACUGGGCUGGAGCACUGUAGGGGCGGGUGGAAUUCCGGGUGUAGCGGUGGAAUGCGUAGAGAUCCGGAAGAACACCGGUGGCGAAGGCGGCCCGCUGGGCAGUUGCUGACACUGAGGCGCGACAGCGUGGGGAGCAAACAGG